rnacentral:rRNA from 1 species
CCGAGGGGCGCGAGGUAAAUCUCUCUAAGGAACUCGGCAAAAUGGCCCCGUAACUUCGGGAGAAGGGGUGCCAGCGAGAGCUGGUCGCAGUGAAGAGGCCCAGGCGACUGUUUACCAAAAACACAGGUCUCCGCUAAGUCGCAAGACGAUGUAUGGGGGCUGACGCCUGCCCAGUGCCGGAAGGUUAAGGAAGCUGGUCAGCGCAAGCGAAGCUAGCGACUGAAGCCCCGGUGAACGGCGGCCGUAACGAUAACGGUCCUAAGGUAGCGAAAUUCCUUGUCGGGUAAGUUCCGACCCGCACGAAAGGCGUAACGAUCUGGGCGCUGUCUCGGAGAGAGGCUCGGCGAAAUAGAAUUGUCUGUGAAGAUGCGGACUACGUGCACCCGGACAGAAAGACCCUAUGAAGCUUUACUGUAGCUUGGUAUUGUGCUCGGGCUCGGAAUGCGCAGGAUAGGUGGGAGGCUUGGAUCCAUUGCUUGCGGGUGAUGGUGAGCCACUGGUGAGAUACCACUCUUUCCGAGCUAGAGUUCUAACCCUCGCCCGUUAUCCGGGGAGGGGACAGUAUCAGGUGGGCAGUUUGACUGGGGCGGUCGCCUCCUUAAAGGUAACGGAGGCGUGCAAAGGUUCCCUCAGGCUGGUUGGAAAUCAGCCGACGAGUGCAAAGGCGGAAGGGAGCUUGACUGUGAGACCUACAAGUCGAACAGGGACGAAAGUCGGCCUUAGUGAUCCGACGGUUCUGCGUGGAAGGGCCGUCGCUCAACGGAUAAAAGUUACUCUAAGGAUAACAGGCUGAUCUCCCCCAAGAGUUCACAUCGACGGGGAGGUUUGGCACCUCGAUGUCGGCUCAUCGCAACCUGGGGCUGAAGUCGGUCCCAAGGGUUGGGCUGUUCGCCCAUUAAAGCGGUACGCGAGCUGGGUUCGGAACGUCGUGAGACAGUUCGGUCCAUAUCCGGUGCACGCGCAGGAAUAUUGAGAGGAUUUCUCCCUAGUACGAGAGGACCGGGAGGAACGCACCUCUGGUGUGCCAGUUAUCGUGCCAACGGUAGACGCUGGGUAGCCAUGUGCGGAGAGGAUAACCGCUGAAAGCAUCUAAGUGGGAAGCCCACCUCAAGAUGAGUAUUCCCAUGGCAAAAGCCAGUAAGGUCACGGGAAGAUUACCCGUUGAUAGGCUCUACGUGGAAGCGCAGCAAUGCGUGAAGCGGAGGAGUACUAAUAGACCGAGGGCUUGACC